GGAUUGUGGCUUAGUGGUAGAGCACUCGCCUAACAUGUGUGAGGCCCUGGGUUCCAUCCUUAGCACCA
rnacentral:tRNA from 1 species